CACGUGAGCAAUCUGCCUUUCAGAGGGGGAUACCGAUUGGAAACGAUCGUUAAUACCGCAUAAUAUAAUUGAACCGCAUGAUUUGAUUAUCAAAGAUUUAUCGCUGAAAGAUGAGCUCGCGUCUGAUUAGCUAGUUGGUAAGGUAACGGCUUACCAAGGCGACGAUCAGUAGCCGGACUGAGAGGUUGAUCGGCCACAUUGGGACUGAGACACGGCCCAGACUCCUACGGGAGGCAGCAGUGGGGAAUAUUGCACAAUGGAGGAAACUCUGAUGCAGCGAUGCCGCGUGAGGGAAGAAGGUUUUAGGAUUGUAAACCUCUGUCUUCAGGGACGAAAAAAGACGGUACCUGAGGAGGAAGCUCCGGCUAACUACGUGCCAGCAGCCGCGGUAAUACGUAGGGAGCGAGCGUUGUCCGGAAUUACUGGGUGUAAAGGGAGCGUAGGCGGGAUCGCAAGUCAGAUGUGAAAACUAUGGGCUUAACCCAUAAACUGCAUUUGAAACUGUGGUUCUUGAGUGAAGUAGAGGUAAGCGGAAUUCCUAGUGUAGCGGUGGAAUGCGUAGAUAUUAGGAGGAACAUCAGUGGCGAAGGCGGCUUACUGGGCUUUAACUGACGCUGAGGCUCGAAAGCGUGGGGAGCAAACAGGAUUAGAUACCCUGGUAGUCCACGCCGUAAACGAUGAUUACUAGGUGUGGGGGGACUGACCCCUUCCGUG
rnacentral:rRNA from 1 species